UGUGCAAAGGUAGCAUAAUCAAUUGGCUUGUAAUUUAAGUCUGGUAUGAAUGUAGUUUUAGGUUAAAGCUGUCUCUUUAUGUUAAUUGAAAUUUACUUGGCCGGUGAAAAAACCGGUAGUAAAAUAAUAGACGAGAAGACCCUAGAAAUUUUAUGAAAGGUAUAGUAAUAUAUAUAUUGGAUUUUGUUGGGGCGACAGAGUAACAGUUAACUUACUCUAUUUGAUGUGAAUUAAUUAUGAAAAUGUAAAUUACUCUAGGGAUAACAGCAUAAUUCUAUUAGUGUUUGUGACCUCGAUGUUGGACUAGGAAAGAUAAUAUUCAGAAGAUAUUAUUAUAGGCUCUGUUCGCGCC
rnacentral:rRNA from 1 species